AUUUAAUUUUUCUGUUUUGCUUUUCCCGGCAGUAUGUGCUUCUAUAAUUAGGUUAUUAUACGUUAAUGAAUAAGAUGGACCCAUGACUCGCCCCAUGAUUUAUGCAGCACCGAGGUGAUAGUAUAUGUGUUGUUGUCGUCCAGACACAUGUUCUGCUUGAUAGUGAACUGCAGACAGCUCAUAUUAAGAGCAUAUGAAAGGAGUGGAAGGUUCCUACUGGUCACAUUGGCAUGUUAUUUACGAGGAAAUGGUUGCAAGAUGGCAACAACAUAACGUGACAAAACUGUCAACAAAGUAACUCUUUUUAUGUUGAGGUAAAAUAAUAUGCUCUUCUCUUUUCUAUUUUUCAAUGUAACGAUUUCUUAUGUGUUAAUUGUGUAUUACAUAUACUUCUGAUAUUGAGUAUCUUGAAUUUUUCUAUCAAAGAGUUCUAUAAAUAAAUAAAAAUUCGUUAAUCAUCGACAAAUUUGACUGACUUAUAGCUUCCCAAAGGCAAAAAUUGAUUAGACUGCUGGAAAAGGUUGGGUUGCGGAGAUGUUGGAAGUGGCUACUUGGCUGAACUGAGUCGAACCAAAUGUUACUUUGCUAUGGAAGUCACAGAUAAAGUAUCUUUAGCUAGCCGCCACGAAGCUUCUUCGUGCUCAGACCAAAAGAGAAAUUUUACAAUCCCUUGAUCAUCUUUUUCUUCCAUCACUCUACAGACACUUAACUGAUCAGUUCUCAUUUUUGAUCAUGGAUUCUACCCUGGAGGGGAUCUCCACACUCUUACGCAGAGACAGCCAAGCAAACAUUUUUCUGAAGAAGCGGUGAAGUAUAACCUCCUUUCAGUCUUUGGAGUAUGAUUUUCCUAUUGAUACUUUCUGAGUGCCACGUCCAAAUUCCAAAUGCUCAGUAAGACCAAAAACUUCAAACUCAACUGCUGUUGUCUCUUGUGGAUAGACUUGAUGACACAAUUAGAACUCUCUGGUAGUUGGGCAAGCGAUUGCAUUAGCGGUGGUGGGUUAGCGUUAUCUUGUGUCUCGCAAGAAAUUUAACAUUUUUUUUUUCUUUCUAUUUGAUGACCCCUCUAAUAAAUUUCUUUGUUCAUGAUAUUUUGCUGAACAAGCAUGACGAUCUACAAAUUGCCUAUUGUACAUAGUGAUGUUGGAUCCAAAUCCAAUGAUUCAUGUAUACAGCUCUUAUUUGUAU